UACGAAGGGGGCUAGCGUUGUUCGGAAUUACUGGGCGUAAAGCGCGCGCAGGCGGUUCUUCAAGUCAGUGGUGAAAGCCCGGAGCUCAACUCCGGAACUGCCAUUGAAGCUGUAGAACUUGAGGAUGAGAGAGGUGAGUGGAAUUCCCAGUGUAGAGGUGAAAUUCGUAGAUAUUGGGAAGAACACCGGUGGCGAAGGCGGCAUCCUGGACCGGCAUUGACGCUGAGUGAGCGAAAGCCAGGGGAGCAAACGGG
rnacentral:rRNA from 1 species